rnacentral:rRNA from 1 species
CUGAUGCAGCGACGCCGCGUGAGGGAUGACGGCCUUCGGGUUGUAAACCUCUUUCAGCAGGGACGAAGCGAAAGUGACGGUACCUGCAGAAGAAGCACCGGCCAACUACGUGCCAGCAGCCGCGGUAAUACGUAGGGUGCGAGCGUUGUCCGGAAUUACUGGGCGUAAAGAGCUCGUAGGCGGUUUGUCGCGUCGUCUGUGAAAACCAGCAGCUCAACUGCUGGCUUGCAGGCGAUACGGGCAGACUUGAGUACUGCAGGGGAGACUGGAAUUCCUGGUGUAGCGGUGAAAUGCGCAGAUAUCAGGAGGAACACCGGUGGCGAAGGCGGGUCUCUGGGCAGUAACUGACGCUGAGGAGCGAAAGCGUGGGUAGCGAACAGGAUUAGAUACCCUGGUAGUCCACGCCGUAAACGGUGGGCGCUAGGUGUGGGUUUCCUUCCACGGGAUCCGUGCCGUAGCUAACGCAUUAAGCGCCCCGCCGGGGGAGUACGGCCGCAAGGCUAAAACUCAAAGGAAUUGACGGGGGCCCGCACAAGCGGCGGAGCAGGUGGAUUAAUUCGAUGCAACGCGAAAAACCUUACCUGGGUUUGACAUAUACCGGAAAGCCGUAAAGAUACGGCCCCCCUUGUGGUCGG